rnacentral:rRNA from 1 species
CGCCUGUUUAUCAAAAACAUCUUUUCUCGUUAGUUUUUGAAGUAUGGCCUGCCCACUGACUUUUGAAUGUUGAAGGGCCGCGGUAUUUUGACCGUGCAAAGGUAGCAUAGUCAUUAGUUCUUUAAUUGUGAUCUGGUAUGAAUGGCUUGACGAGGCAUGGGCUGUCUUAAAUUUUGAAUUGUUUAUUGAAUUUGGUCUUUGAGUUAAAAUUCUUAGAUGCUUUUAUGGGACGAGAAGACCCUAUAGAGUUUAACAUUUAUUAUGGUCUUUUUCUGUUUGUGAGGGUUCACUGGGCCGUUUAAUAUGUUUUGUUGGGGUGAUGGGAGAGAUUUAUUUAACCUCUCCUUUGUGUUGUUAUAUUUAUUUAUAUUUACUUGAUCCAUUUAUUUUGAUUGUAAGAUUAAAUUACCUUAGGGAUAACAGCGUAA